GGAUGCGAGGGUGAUCUGGGUAGUUGGGCAUGUUUUCCUCUUUUUCUCCUUCACUGCUCCAUGUGCUCAGUUGAUGAGAAUGGCCUCCCCAAUAGAGGAGGACUUUCUUCAGUCAAGAGCAUAUGAGUAACUGUGCUCCCCUGCUAGAACCUCCAAACAAGCUCUCAAAAGGGAGAAAUAGAAAAAAAAGAAGGGAGAAAGUAGUGACAAUUUCUGAGACAGUCUAAAACCAAUCUUUGGCUCAAUACUCUAUCUUCUAGGGCUAUUGGAAAUU
rfam:Macaca mulatta chromosome 1, whole genome shotgun sequence.